rnacentral:rRNA from 1 species
GACAGCAGUAGCCACGGGAAUACGAAGGGGGCUAGCGUUGUUCGGAAUUACUGGGCGUAAAGCGCACGUAGGCGGAUAUUUAAGUCAGGGGUGAAAUCCCGCAGCUCAACUGCGGAACUGCCUUUGAUACUGGGUAUCUUGAGUAUGGAAGAGGUUAGUGGAAUUGCGAGUGUAGAGGUGAAAUUCGUAGAUAUUCGCAGGAACACCAGUGGCGAAGGCGGCUAACUGGUCCAUAACUGACGCUGAGGUGCGAAAGCGUGGGGAGCAAACAGGAUUAGAUACCCGCGUAGUCCCUGUCUCUUAUAA